rnacentral:rRNA from 1 species
UACGUAGGGUGCGAGCGUUGUCCGGAAUUAUUGGGCGUAAAGAGCUUGUAGGCGGUCUGUCGCGUCUGCUGUGAAAAUCCGGGGCUCAACCCCGGACUUGCAGUGGGUACGGGCAGACUAGAGUGUGGUAGGGGAGACUGGAAUUCCUGGUGUAGCGGUGAAAUGCGCAGAUAUCAGGAGGAACACCGAUGGCGAAGGCAGGUCUCUGGGCCACUACUGACGCUGAGAAGCGAAAGCAUGGGAAGCGAACAGG